rnacentral:lncRNA from 1 species
GUCAGCCCCACAUUUCUCCCUGGAGCUCUGAGAGUCUUCCAGAAAAAGUUCCUGAGGAGAGCUCACUGCUGGAGGUCUUGGUCUCUCACACCCUUGGAGCUCAUCUACCCAAGUGAGGCUGAGUGCCCUCCGCCAGUGCAGACAGACCCAGUCCGUGUUGAUGCAAAACCAGGUCUCUGUGACCAAGAGGAAAAGACCAAGGAGUCCUGGAGAUGACCUAGUUCACAGGCUCUCUCUCUUGUUCAUGCUCCUGUUUCGGCCAGUUCGUAUGAAGAAAAUGAGGCCCAGGAUGGACCUUGUUCUAUCUGGAAAAAGACAGAAAAGGGACCUUAGGACUGGAAAGGCAACUAUAGGAGCAGCACCCCCCUGGUGGCGUUGGGGACCCAAGCUUGAGGCAAAACUCACUCAAGGACAGCAGAGCAGAGGGAAUGGAGUCCUUGAGCUGCUGCAUCCAACCUCCCAAACCUGCCAUCCUACUGAACUUCUGCUAUGAGAGGUCCAGGGCUGGGAAUAUAGCUCAGUUGCACCACACCUGCCUGCCAAACAUUUGAUUCCCAGUACCAGAAAAAAGGAAAAAAAAAAAAAAAGAAAGAAAGAAAAGAAAAAUAAAUUCUUAGGUCCAGCUGAAAUCCCUAAGAUAGAGAAAUGGUAUUAAGAUUGAUUUGGAAGACAAGCACAGUGGCCCCAAGGAUCACAAGUUUGAGACCAGUCUGGGCAAGUUGAUAAGAGCCAGCUUCAAAAAACAGACUGCUGAGGAGGCUCAUUUCCCAGAACUGCAUCAAAAUAAAUGUUUGAAAUUUUCCUGGUGAAAAUUGAGAAGUUGAGCAAACAGAAGUUUAGUGGAGAAAGCAAGACAAAGGAUGUACUCAACCUUACCAGCCACAGGACAAAACCAAGGCAGCAGAUGAAAGAAGGGCUGCAAAGACAGCAGUCGCUAGGGAAACAUGGAAAGUCCAGAUUUAGGCUGAAGAAACAGGGCCUCUUAAGGAGGGGGGUUACCUGCAGGAGAAGUGAUGUGAACCACAAGAAACCCCUCGUGGCUAUGGAAACCAGUUGGAUGUGAUGUGCAUCAGCUCAAUUGGGAAAUGAAGUCACCUGGCCAACUCUGACUCCAAGAUUGCCAGGAGAAAGCAAAACAUCGGUGUUCAUCCCCAGGAUGAAGCAGGCUGCCUUGUCUGAGCCUGGGGUCUUCGCCAGAGGUGCACCUCAUCAAAGCCCCUGAGAUGCCCCUCCAGGGCCUGGUCCCUGCAGGAGAAACCAAGCUCUAAGGCAGAGGCAAAGGAGCCACACAGCUGCACCCUGCAAGCCUUCUGGAGUCCUUGUCAGCUGUGUCCCUCAUAAGUCAUUCAAGGAGACCUUGUGGGUUCCAAGCUUGGGUCAUUUAAGUGGUUGUUGUCGCAUAAACAUGGCUUUCCAAG